AUUGAACGCUGGCGGCAGGCCUAACACAUGCAAGUCGAGCGGAUGAAGGGAGCUUGCUCCUGGAUUCAGCGGCGGACGGGUGAGUAAUGCCUAGGAAUCUGCCUGGUAGUGGGGGAUAACGUCCGGAAACGGGCGCUAAUACCGCAUACGUCCUGAGGGAGAAAGUGGGGGAUCUUCGGACCUCACGCUAUCAGAUGAGCCUAGGUCGGAUUAGCUAGUUGGUGGGGUAAAGGCCUACCAAGGCGACGAUCCGUAACUGGUCUGAGAGGAUGAUCAGUCACACAGGAACUGAGACACGGUCCAGACUCCUACGGGAGGCAGCAGUGGGGAAUAUUGGAAAAUGGGCGAAAGCCUGAUCCAGCCAUGCCGCGUGUGUGAAGAAGGUCUUCGGAUUGUAAAGCACUUUAAGUUGGGAGGAAGGGCAGUAAGUUAAUACCUUGCUGUUUUGACGUUACCAACAGAAUAAGCACCGGCUAACUUCGU
rnacentral:rRNA from 1 species